GGGUGUGGCUUGGUGGUAGGGCACUUGUCUAGCAUGAGCAAGCCCUGGGUUCAAUCCCAGCAUUGCA
rnacentral:tRNA from 1 species